rnacentral:rRNA from 1 species
AAGGCGACGACGGGUAGCCGGCCUGAGAGGGUGUCCGGCCACACUGGGACUGAGAUACGGCCCAGACUCCUACGGGAGGCAGCAGUGGGGAAUAUUGCACAAUGGGCGCAAGCCUGAUGCAGCGACGCCGCGUGGGGGAUGACGGCCUUCGGGUUGUAAACCUCUUUCAGCAGGGACGAAGCGCAAGUGACGGUACCUGCAGAAGAAGCACCGGCCAACUACGUGCCAGCAGCCGCGGUAAUACGUAGGGUGCGAGCGUUGUCCGGAAUUACUGGGCGUAAAGAGCUCGUAGGUGGUUUGUCGCGUUGUUCGUGAAAAC